rnacentral:SRP_RNA from 1 species
GCCGAGCGCAGUGGCACGUACCUAUAGUCCCAGCUACUCAGGAGGCUGAGGUGGGAGGAUCACUUGAGCCCAGGAGUUCUGGGCUGUAGUGCACUAUGCUGAUUGGAUGUCCGCACUAAGUUCAGCAUCAAUUUGGUGACCUCUUGGAAGCAGGGACCACCAGGUUGCCUAAGGAGGGGUGAACCAGCCCAGGCCAGAAACGGAUCAGAUCAAAACUCCCGUGCUGAUCAGUAGUGGGAUCGCACCUGUGAAUAGCCACUGCACUCCAGCCUGGGCAACGUGGUAAGACCCUGUCUCU